rnacentral:lncRNA from 1 species
UGGUUCUCACCCAUGCGGGGCUGGGAGGAAGUACUACACACUCUAUCUAUGUAUACUACUAUUGAAGCAGCAGCAGCAACACCUGGAGCCAUCAGCCCUAACUGACAAAAAACCCUUCUUUCCUACCAUCCUGGCUUUCUCUAACUUUGUCUCUGUUCUCCAUGUGCAGGUGGUAGAAGAGACACAGGUCAUCCUUCGAGAGUAUGGCUUCCGCUUUGUGAGGCGAGGACCCAUCUUUGUGAAGGGCAAAGGGGAGCUUCUGACCUUUUUCUUAAAGGGGCGGGACAGGCCAGCUGCCUUCCCCAAUGGCUCCUCUGUUACACUGCCCCACCAAGUGGUGGACAACCCCUGAACAGCCCUGGCUCCACAGCGGUCCACACUGGAAGGGAGACAUUUUGGAAGCAGAGAAAAGCUUUGGGAAAGGGCAAACGACCGAGUCCCGGGGUUCCCAACUGUUGAAGUGCACAUUCCCAUAGACUUUAGGUUUCAGAUUUCCUCCAGCCUCCCUGUGUGGCUGUGAGCUCUGAGCGUGGCUAUUCCUACUCCUCAGUGUGCCUGUAGCUUCCCCAAAGCAGGGGUCUAGGCAUAGUACUGGAGCAGCCUUUCCAGAGCCUUUGUUCCAGCUCAGCCCUUCACCCCUAGAGAGGCCACAGCCACUGUGAGCAGGAUGCCAGCAGAUGUGGGAUGAAGCUGCCUGUGCUGCAGGGUGGGGGCACAGGCUGGGCUCAGGGCCGAGAAGGCUCGGCGCCUGGCUGCGCCCUCCUGUCUAGUUAAGUCAAUGGCCCUUACCCCGAUGUUCCUGAUAAUCUUGAAAGGUUCUUCUGGAACCCCCGUGUCACCUUAGUCACGAGAGCAGAAAGUGCAAUAUUUCCUUUCACCUGGUUGGGAAGGGGGGUUAUUUCUGAAAGAAAAAAAUAUAUAAACAGAUCUUCUACAUUUAUAUUUUUAACCUGUUCAAAAAACAACUUUCCAAUAUUGCCUUGUCUUCUGAGCUCUUGCUACAGUCGCCUUUGCUACUGCUUUAACAGAGAAUCUGCAGGUGUUGAUAAAGAACAGGACUGUUUUAUUAAAAGCUUUACUCAACUUG